rnacentral:rRNA from 1 species
UAUGAGGGGGGCGAGCGUUGUUCGGAAUUAUUGGGCGUAAAGGGUGCGUAGGCGGUUUGGUAAGUCUGAUGUGAAAUCUAUGGGCUCAACUCAUAGUCUGCAUCGGAAACUGCCGGGCUUGAGUGUGGGAGAGGUGAGUGGAAUUCCUGGUGUAGCGGUGAAAUUCGUAGAUAUCAGGAGGAACACCGGUGGCGAAGGCGGGUCUCUGGGCAGUAACUGACGCUGAGGAACGAAAGCGUGGGUAGCAAACAGG